ensembl:rRNA 5S_rRNA 5S ribosomal RNA
GUCUAUGGCCAUGCCACCCCGAACAUGCCCAAUCUUGUCUGAUCUCGGAAGCUAAGCUAGUUAGCUUAGCUGGUUAGUACUUGGAUGGAAGACCACCUAGGAAGACCAGGUGCUGUUGGCG